CUGCAUUUUCUUAUUUUGUUAAUGUAGGUAUGAGUUUUAGAGGAGAGGAGAAUAUUUCUGAUGACCCUAAUCCCUCCACAGCCUCUAUUGGAAGUCAACCAGGCUCUUGUGAACAAAAUUGUAUGACCAUUAAUUAUGUAGUGUUUCUUUAUUAACAUUGUAUUUAUUGUAAGCAUAAUUAGUGACUUACACUGUGUGCCCACUUACACGUACUGUACUUGUACCUGUAUGUCUACAUCAUUUUGUGUUUUCCAUUAUUCUUUGACUUUA